UGAGGAAUAUUGGUCAAUGGGCGCAAGCCUGAACCAGCCAUCCCGCGUGCAGGAAGACGGCGCUAUGCGUUGUAAACUGCUUUUCAAGGGAGAGAAACUUGCGAUCGUGUUGCGCAAUUGACGGUACCCUGGGAAUAAGCAUCGGCUAACUCCGUGCCAGCAGCCGCGGUCAUACGGAGGAUGCGAGCGUUAUCCGGAUUCAUUGGGUUUAAAGGGUGCGUAGGCGGACUAUUAAGUCAGUGGAGAAAUCCUGCAGCUUAACUGCAG
rnacentral:rRNA from 1 species